rnacentral:lncRNA from 1 species
GUUUUAGAGCUUUUCUCUCUAGGUUUUCAUGUAUGAAGACACUCUCAUGGAGCUUGCCAUGGAUUUUUCGGUUUUGGGUUAUAUGAAUGAACAAGUUGUAGAUUUUAUUCCUCUCUUGCUUUAAUCUUAGUUGUCUUGGCUUGGUAGAAGUAUAUGACCAUCCAUUUCUCUCUUUAUUUCCUUGUUGUUGAUGUUGAAGCUUGAGCUUUUAAGCUUGUCUUUGCUUUUCCAUGGUGGUUGUUGGGUUUGAGUGACUUUAGAUUUUCGUUUUCCUAUCCCUUGCUGUUGUUCCUCAUGUUUUUCUUUGCAUUUUAUUUGGUUGGUUGAUGAAAAUAGAAUUCUAUGUGAGUUUUGGGUUGAAUAGAGCUUAACUUGAUGUGUGGGUGUUGUGGGUUUGGCUCUUUCUCUUCAUAUUUCGGUUUUGAUGUUUGAAACUAGUUUGGAACCAGAAUUUGAUGAUGUUAUUGGGGCUGGACAGUGGUUGAGUUGAAUGGUAUAAUGUUAUUUUCGUUUUUGCACAAGAGCUUGAAGAAAUGGAAGAUUGGGUGGAGUUAAAGUAGUAGUAGUGGGGUCUCUUGGGUGUGUGUUUUCUGUGUGAGGAAGAAGAAAGAGCUGGAGGAGUGUCUUGGAGAGUGAGAAAACCGAAAUGGACAAGGAAAGGAAGAGAGAGGAGUGCAUUUAAGUUUUUACUACUUAUGGGCAAACAAAAAAGAUGCUUAUUUUCAUUCUAGGAAGAUUUCCAUUUUGAGCUUUGGCUUUGUUUGAAUUCCAGCCAUGAAUUGCCUUUGCAUGGGAGGUCUUUGGUUGUUUAAUUUCAUUUGGUUUUGCUUACAUGGCACAUUGGUUAGACCAUCCAAGUAUAUUCCAUUUGCACAUUGGUUUUUGA